rnacentral:rRNA from 1 species
AUUGAACGCUGGCGGCAGGCCUAACACAUGCAAGUCGAGCGAGCGGCGGACGGGUGAGUAAUGUCUGGGAAACUGCCGGAUGGAGGGGGAUAACUACGGGAAACGGUAGCUAAUACCGCAUACCAUCAGAUGUGCGCAGGUGUGGUUAGCUAGUAGGUGGGGUAACGGCUCACCUAGGCGACGAUCCCUAGCUGGUCUGAGAGGAGGACCAGCCACACUGGAACUGAGACACGGUCCAGACUCCUCCGGGAGGCAGCAGUGGGGAAUAUUGCACAAUGGGCGCAAGCCUGAUGCAGCCAUGCCGCGUGUGUGAAGAAGGCCUUCGGGUUGUAAAGCACUUUCAGCGGGGAGGCGUUACCCGCAGAAGAAGCACCGGCUAACUCCGUGCCAGCAGCCGCGGUAAUUC